GUAUUAAAGUUUAAAGGCAUUCAAAAGCCCAACAACAAACAUUCUGAGACAUACUAUAGGGGUGUAUAUAUAUAAAAACAUAGACCGGAAGUACAAGGAAAGCUGGCUUUGCGCACAGCAGUCCUCAAACCGAGUUUCCUCGAGAGUUUAUCCAGGUCUACAGAAGGUGCACAGGUGGUAAAAAGUUUGGUGUUAGGCGUGCACAUGCUCCUGAGAGCCAGCAACAACCCAACCAAGCUUAUUCAAUAAUGAUCCUUCCGCAGGUUCACCUACGGAAA
rnacentral:misc_RNA from 1 species